rnacentral:rRNA from 1 species
AGCAGCCGCGGUAAUUCCAGCUCCAAUAGCGUAUAUUAAAGUUGUUGCAGUUAAAAAGCUCGUAGUUGAAUUUCGAGACCGGUUUACUGGUCGUGCUUUUGUACGUACUGGUAUUAUUGGUUUCUCCUUUCUGACGAAUCAUAAUGCCAUUAAUUUGGUGUUUUGGGGAAUCAGGACUGUUACUUUGAAAAAUUAGAGUGUUUAAAGCAGGCUCACGCUUGAAUACAUUAGCAUGGAAUAACGAAAUAGGACGUUUGAUUUUAUUUGUUGGUUUCUAGGAUCGACGUAAUGAUUAAUAGGGAUAGUUGGGGGCAUUAGUACUCAAUUGUCAGAGGUGAAAUUCUUGGAUUUAUUGAAGACUAACUACUGCGAAAGCAUUUGCCAAGGAUGUUUUCAUUAAUCAAGAACGAAAGUUAGGGGAUCGAAGACGAUCAGAUACCGUCGUAGUCUUAACCAUAAACUAUGCCGACUAGGGAUCGGAUGAUGUUAAUUUUUUAAUGACUCA